UUCAGCGUAAAUCAAUAGAACGGCGCGCGAUGUCCCAGCCCGUUCUGUUCUCUGCAUGCAAAUAAGCGCUUGAGCUUUGGCCAUGACAGUGCGCUGUGAUGCCCUUAAUUUCGUAUCCUAUUCAUUGUAUGUAACAGCUACUCUCUCCAAAUCAAGCCAUAUCGACCACAGACGAAAUAGAAAGCGGGAAAUGCAGCCUCAGCAAAUCCAACUGCUUUUAUGACCCAAUGCCGAGGUAAUCAGAUCAAUUUCAUGGGUUACGGGAUUCUGCCUAUACCAACUCAGGUGGUAAUAGAUCAUUACAAUCCUUGAUCUUCGGUAUUUCUGGGAAACAUGAGUCUCUCCAUCCCUCCCUCACUUUUAGUAUAUGAAGCGGAGGUGACAUUUAAGUGCCAAGUGGUGCCAGGCGAACCACUCGGCUGCUACCGUGGAAUGUUGCUAAUGUUGGCCCUGAGCACCAAGAACACACACACCCAGACUCAAAUCGAAACAAUCCAUGCCCAUGUUAUUUCACCAGCGGGCUCAAACUAACAGUGUG